CACUAACACACCGCCAUGUCAGUGUUACUGCAGUGCUGAGAAUGAUCCACCACCUAAAUGGUACCUGCUCUGUGAGGGUCCGUGGGGUUCCUGACAACUGAAGAACAGGGUAAAAGGGGGCUAACAAGUACACUGUUAAAAGUGGGACUAGGGUUAAUUAAUAUUUACUAAAUAAUGAAUUUACCAAUACAUAAUAAAGAAUAUAUGUAGUUCAAAAUCAUUUUUUAUUAAGUUUAUUCAUUGUAUUUUAUACAAUUUUACUUUAAUAAAAUUAGCUGUGACACAUUGAGUAGAAUUUACUUAUUUUGUCUGUAACGGCAAGGAUACAGAAAGUCGAUAGAUUUUACUCAUUAGGAGGUCUUUGUUUUCAAUUAGCUUACACUUCCGCCCAACCAGUUUUCACCUCAUGGACUACAGACACUCCAUUUUUUUAGGAGCUGCUGUCCUCCAACUUUUUCAAGGUAAGACCUUUUUUAAAUAUUGUUGGGGAAUUAACAGGCAGCUGGUACAACAACUUACCAAUAGUUUAACUUUGCCCUGCUGUAAGUCAAAGAAUUUAGUUUCAUAGUAACUGAUUUGUAGUUUUUAUAGCUACACAUUUACAGCAUGCCCAUUAACUCUAAAACUUUAUAUAAGGAAAGCAAGGAUUUUAUAUAUGAGUCUGUUCGAUAGACUUAUCUUGUAUAACUUAUCUUGUAACGGACUAUGGAUAGCCAUAUACUGUACAGCUGUCAUUACCUGUUCAUACUAAGGUGAUUUAGGAUGAUGUAUUACAUUUUUGUCUGUAGCAUUGACUGGCUUUCUAAAUACAUGAGUACAAUAUAGCGGCUACAUAACAGUUGUCCUUUUAGCAAAUUGUUAGCAAUGGCUUCGAGGUAGCUUAGCAAGCUACAUAGGCUUCUUUCCUUGGUACUAUCAAGUUCAAACCGCAUGUUAAAGUUUCUUUUUUUUAACAUAAAUAUUGAAAAAAAUUGACAUGGUGUGCACAGAGAGAGCCUGCUUGAUGUGAGCUGCAGAAGUGCUAAACAGCACUCAACAUAAUAGUCUUACUUCUGUUUAAUUCUUUUUUCAUAUCUCGCUCUGGCUUUUUGUCCUUUGAUUAUUUUAUUGGAGUGUUUAAGUGGCAUUGUACACUACAAUAGCAUUCCAACCUUGUUUAAUAGUGCUGCAAUGUGGUAAUGGUCAUAAAAUGUUUUUGUGAACACUUUUGUGCCUGAUUCAGCUGUUUAUGGUUAUUGGGUCUCAUUUAGCCGUUUCUAGGGUUGUGGUUUUGUACUUUGCUAACUAAAGUGUGUCUGAUUUAGCUUUUCAAAAUUCAGAGAUUUCUACUUGCAUGGCAAUGUAUGGAAAAAUGAAUUUGAACUAAUAUGAAUUAAUCUUCAGUGUGUAAUUUCCAAAUAAUUGUGCAGAGCGCUUUUUUUCAUGAUUUUGCAGCAGUUUUGACACUCAUGGUCAUUUUAAUUGUUAUUAUACAAAUGUGUACAUUUUAAAACUAUUAAGAUAUAAUUAAUUAAAUUAUAAGUAUUAAGUAAAAAUACUUGUACAUCAAAUUGGCAAAUAAAUAAUUGUAUUUCAUUGUUUGAAUUAAUGAAUUAAUCAUUCUGUUUUUAACAUUCAGAUUAUUUGAGUUGCAGGUUUCUGGUUGUAUUAUAUAUUCUCACAGUUAGAUUUUUUUCAUUAAUAUAAGAUGGGUUGUGAAUGUAAUGGUAAGCACAGUGCCACCUAAAUCAAAUACACAGUAGUAGCAUGAGCACCAUUUGAUACAACUCGCAACAUAGAAAACCCAGUUUCAGCUCCUGUCACCUUGGUGGUUGGACUUCAUUUAAUUCCAAUUAACUGGGAUUCUGCGAACAUGAGUUUUAAUUAAGAACCUUCUUUAAAUGUAAGUAUGCGCAAUGUAAAAUGUAAUCAUUCAAGCAGGAAACAAAUGCAUUAUAAAAUGUAAUAUGAUACAGACAAAUAUUUUUAUAAAAUCAUGUUUAUUUAAAUUGCAUUCAGCAUUUAGAGACAAAUGUGAUUUGAGAUUUAAUUUGAAAUAAUUUUUAAAAAUGUAUUAGUAAUUGUAAUAAAACACACUUUAUUAUUCUGAUGGAAUAAUUGCAGUCUCUUCCUCAGAUUAUGCAUUGUAUGUCUGAUUUGUAUCUGUUGGCUUCUGGUUGUGAUGCUUUUGAACUUGUGUAUAUUUAGAGAUGGAGGCAAAACUCAGAGUAAUAAUUGAUGAUCGAAUUGAAAAACUGGUUCUUCUAUCGGGAAUCCCGCACACUGUGGAGGAGCUGCAAGCUGUUGUAAAUGAGGCCUUUGGAAUAUCUUAUGACUUCAGUCUUCAAUAUCUGGACUCAGAAUUUGAAGACUACUUUACCCUCAAUAAAUGUGAUCAAAUUAAACACAAAGAUACUGUAAAGGUUGUUCACACUGCCCCGAUUCUGACUUGUAUUCAGUUGAUGAAAGUUUGGGCAGUACCUCUGGUCAACUCUCAACUGACUGUGACUCUGCAUCUUGUGCAGAGUCGAUUGCGUCAAAUGCAGAGCCAUCUGGUGAGUCCUCUUCCUCCCAGGACACCAUUAUUCUUUCUAGGCGAAGUUCCACAGAACGAUGUCAACCAUGGCCAAAGCAGUUCGCCAUUCCACACUUGCAUAUGAAACUGAGAUGUACCUUGAAAGAGCCAAGGAAGGUUACAAGAAUGGAAAACUUCUAACUACUUCAAAGGUCAAGGUGGACAUUCUGGAGAAAUUGGCUGAAACUGUAUAUUCAUAUACAGCCUGUCCAUCAAGUGCAUCAGUGAUGUUGCUGAGGCACUCAUUGAGAAAUAUCCUUGUCUCAAGGAACCUGGCUCCUUCUCUGGUUACUAUGGCUUGCAACAAAGCAUCAAGUAGAAGAUGGUCAAUUAUUGCACCAAACUUCAAGGCUUUGGUGUUCCUGAGGUGAUAUACAAUGCAGUAAAGCACAAGAGGCUUGCUGAAACUGAACCCUGAAAAGCAGAGGUAAACUACCUGCCCCCUUACCCAGCAGGAAAGGAUAAAGAAAGUCAAGAACACGAAAGGAUUGAGUUGCUCACUGACGUAAAGAAAAGGGACAAUGACAAACUGAUAAAAGAAAAAAUGGCCAAAACAUUUGCGCACAGAAGACACGAAAUCAUCAACCAGACACCCGGCAUAGAGGACAUUUAAAGCCAGAUGGCCUGCUCUGUUUAAGGCAUCUCAUCUCCAGGAUGAGUUUCAUAGAAUCACAACAGUGCACCUUGAAUCAAAGUUCAUGUCCAAGUUGGAUGAAUAUACUCCUAAGCUUCUGGUACUCUUCCAUUCCAACGGAGGAGCCCUAGGGUGGAGGCUGCAAGUUAUCCUACUAAAGGCUCCUAGCCAUCCUUGCAUUAACAUGACCAGAGAAGUUGUCUUCGGUGCUUGAUGGUGUACCUCGGGGAAUCGACAGAUCAGCUCUUAAGAGUAUGAGAAGUUGAAGUACAUCAUAUGAUGAUGCUGAUGGAGAGUGUGUCACAGGACCUUGCAGUACAAAAGAUGAAAAUCUACAAAAUCAAGACACAAACAUCAGACCGUACUGCAGACUUUGGUGUUGUGGUAGAAGGUGUGAAAGUUUUGACUGAUCUGGUAACUUUGCAAGAGCUUGCUCCAUGCUUGUUGGAUUUGCAUAUGCAGUGGAUCUUGCUUAUCCCAAGGAGCUCAGGUACACAUUCGAAGUCUUUCAAAACUCCUCCUUGAAGUGGAUUGUUUACGGCUUUCUCCAAAAGUGAAUAGCCUCAAAAAUAAGCUACUGGCUUAAGACAAGGGACUCGUAUAAAGUGAAAAAUUGUGACUCUCAAAACUUUUACAUUGUUAAAUUUUAAAGCUUUGUUAAAUGCACAAGUUUAAUUGUUCCGUUUAAUUAAUUGCUUAAUCACAUGUUUCUUGUGGUCCAAUAACCGUACUAAUUUGAGGGAAGAGGCUUACUGUUUUUGAUUUUAUAUUGGUACAGACAACUGUUCAUAUGCAUUUGUGAUGGCAUUGUGUAAACAAGUCUCUCUCCAAAAGUGAAUAGCCUCAAGAAUAAUCUAAUGGCUUAAGAAAAGGGACUCUUGUAGAGUGAAAGGAAAUUGUGUGUCUCAACUUUUACAUUAUGACCUGUAAAGCUUUGUUAAAUGCAAGCUUCAUUGUUCAAUUUACCAACUUAUUUGGUUAAUCUCACAUGUUUCUUGCAGUCCAAUUAAUCAUACUUAUUUGAAGGAAGCCUUUGUUUUUUUUAAUUUAAUAUUGGUACAGACAGCUGUUUGUAUACAUUGUGAUUGCAUUGUGUAAACCAGGGAUACAAAUUCUUAAUUUAAUUUAAAAAAAGAAGAAAGGUAAAUGGUGUGAUUUUGUUUCCUUUUAUUGGUGUGGCUCUGCAGAUUUCAAUCAGUGAUUUAUAAUUAGAGUUUUCAUAUUUGUAAGAAAUAAAAAUGCUUUGCACUAACAAAAUAUUGUUGUAUUUUUGCCCCAACAGGAUAAGACAGGAUAAGAAAAUUUGCAAACAUAAACAAUAAAAAAAAUCUUCUGGGCCUAUUUUAACCAGAAGUGAUGUGGAGAGACCAUAUAUCACCAUACAGUUGUGAUAAAUCUGUAUUUGUCCUUUUUUAACGUUCCAAGUGAACCUUUAUCAACAUUAAGGACAGACAGAUUGCCAGUCUGUUAUAUUUCUGUUGUAUACCUACAGUUUAUAUGCAUGGUAAUCGGUUAAUAUAAUUAAAGUAAGCCAUGGCACCAACAAGACAUAAUAUAUAGUAGAUUAAAAAUAUGAAUAGGUCUGAAGUUCUAAAACUUUAAAGUUGUACACAUGAAUAGGAUUUGCAGUGUAUUUGUGUCUAAAUACACAACAGCAGGUCAAAAUGAUUUUAUACAUUUUAUUUAAUUUAGUAAAUCC